GAUGAAGAACGUAGCGAAAUGCGAUAAGUAAUGUGAAUUGCAGAAUUCAGUGAAUCAUCGAAUCUUUGAACGCACAUUGCGCCCCUUGGUAUUCCGGGGGGCAUGCCUGUUCGAGCGUCAUUAUCACCCCUCAAGCUCAGCUUGGUGUUGGGCCCCGCCGCCCCGGCGGGCCCUAAAGUCAGUGGCGGUGCCGUCCGGCUCCGAGCGUAGUAAUUCUUCUCGCUCUGGAGGUCCGGUCGUGUGCUCGCCAGCAACCCCCAAUUUUUUUCAGGUUGACCUCGGAUCAGGUAGGGAUACCCGCUGAACUUAAGCAUAUCAAUAAGCGGAGGA
rnacentral:misc_RNA from 1 species